AACUUAUAUGUAUACACAAAUGUAAACAAAAGUUAACCUGUAAACACUGAAAAACUAAUGACUUUAAUGACUAUUAAAUCAGAGAUUUAUCAGAAUUAAUGUAAAAGGCUGACUUAAAUACAAACUCAAUAUAAAAGUCUUGAAAACACUUUGGUCUGUUUUAUUGUAACUUUUUUCAAAAACUCUAUAUUAUUACUUAUAUUUUUCUUUAACCAGACUGGAUAACAAAUAGGUCUAUACUUCUGUAAUGUAAUAUGCAGAAUAAAUCUCAUCAAUCAACAGGCUAUAAUAAAACUCUUAACUUUUAAGUAGACUGUGUAAAUCUUUCAGAUAUUUAAAUUUUAAAGCAAAUAUGAGCUGUGAUGGUGUGGUGAUCAGAUGACAGGUGAUGGGGAUUCUUCAGCUGGAUGUUCUGCAGCAGUCAGGAAACAGGAAGUCUGGGUUCUCAGGACAGCCUCUAGAUGAUAACUGUAAUUGAAUACUUACACUGAGUGACAAAAAAGGGUUUUUCCUUAAAUAAUAAUAGUAUAAACUUGUAGUCAAAUGUUAUAACCAAUGAAACAGACUUGAAAAAUGUAUUUGAAUCAAAUUUAAUAUUUAUGUGAAUAUAACAGUCUGAAUUACAAAAUAACCAGAUUAUCUUACUACAAAUAUAUCUAAAAAAAAGGUGUAUAUAAGUUUAUAUAAUUUAUCAAAUUGCACUUGUAAGCCAAACUAUCAGUGUUUAUUUCAAAGUGUAAUGCAAAAUUAAAAUGACAAAUGUAGGUCUCUGUAAGUAGUUUCUACAGUGAGUUCUACUGUACUGUAUAUUCAACUUUUUACUUGUAAUUUCCAGCAAAAUGAGUGGAUAUGAAAGUUUAAUGACAGGAAAGAAGGAGCCGUGAGAGCGGAGAUCUCUCCGAAUUCUGAAAACAGAUCGAUGAAGUUGCGGUAACUUCAAUUCCAAAAACUUGGGUUUCUCAAACUUGGGUUUCUCAAACUUGGGUUUCUCAAACUUGGUUUCAGGCAAACUUGUUUUGCUUUUCAACUCAGGUUCAAGCUUGUCAAAUUAGAUAGAGCUCAUGGCGGAGAAAUGAUAGAAGAUAGAAUGGCUUGUCAAAAAAGAUGGAGCAGGGAGAGGGAGAGUGAUAGGACAGACUGAAUUGCUUGUUAAUGAUAGAGGGAGAGGGUUUUCUGCAGCAGGUC
rnacentral:lncRNA from 1 species